AAAUCUGUUUACACAGUCACGUCAUGGGGACCUCUGACGGUGUGGGGACAAAAAAUCAGGUCCCCAUGAAGGAAGCCCUAUUAAAUGAGUGCAGGAGCUAUUCUGAAGGUGCCUGUGUGAUUUUUAGCAUUGGCCCAUCACACAUGUUUUUCAGUCAGUGUGUGUGUGUGUGGAGUGCUCACUUUCGCCCCUCGUAGUUUGGGACUGGUAGUGCACUUGCUGCUCCACACACACACUUAUUCCAAAUAUGGCUGGGCACUGCCCACUUCCUUGUCCCCAUAAGGAAGGAUUUUACCAGCAUGUUACAGGCUGCAAUCCACACGGUGGAUGAAGAGAUGGAUUAUUUACAGAAGAUAUACCAGCUUAUGACCUUGGAAUUUUUGCAAAGGAGCAAAAGUGAAACACAAGACAACCAGCACUGCAGCUGAUUCCAUAGCAGUGGUUGAUUUCCAUCCUUCACUAUGCCGAAGACUCAGAGAGAUGAUGCUACAGGUCCAAACAACUCUCCUCAACAGACAACCAGCACUGCAGCUGAUUCCAUAGCAGUGGUUGAUUUCCAUCCUUCACUAUGCCAAAGACUCAGAAGGAUGAUGCUACAGGUCCAAACAACUCUCCUCAACAGACAACCAGCACUGCAGCUGAUUCCAUAGCAGUGGUUGAUUUCCAUCCUUCACUAUGCCAAAGACUCAGAGAGAUGAUGCUACAGGUCCAAACAACUCUCCUCAACAGGUUAGGCCACCCAGAUGAAGAAAACAUCCUGGCAGCAAACAGAUGUGCAGAUGAUGGAAAGGCGCAUGAAUCGAUUCAUCACAUCUUGUACCAGCGUCAACUGACUGUGAGAAGUAUUUAUGGGCUGAACUGGGAGCAGCAGAAACUGAAAUUCUUCAUUUAUAACCACAUUACGGCCUACAGGCAUGUAAAAGUUGCCUUCCAUUUUUAUUUUUUUAAUAUGUAUUAUCCUAUUUCUGCUGUGUUGUGCAGUUGACUACAUGCACAGCAAACAGCACUAUGCUUUGUAUCAGUAGCACCAUUUUCUGGCCUCAUACUAUGUCUUUACAUAAACUAUGAGGAAGUAAGCUGAGCUAAAUUUCAAAAUUUGAUAUUGAUUUACUACACCUGUAUUUUUUCUACAAAUUUGCAGAUUAAACUUUUCUUUCAACAAA